GGGAGUUGGGCUAGAAAGAACCGAGACGCGGCGAUAGAGCAACUUGCUGUUUGGGGAAUCGCUAGGAAACUGGGAAGUGAAACUGGGGCGGUAUCUUCGUUUUUACGGAUUAAGUUACAAUGUAGCGCGUCCUAAUAGAUACAAGUGUGGAAGCUGAAUAGUUGUACGUGUAUUUUAAACUAGAGCUAUAAUAGAUGCGUUUCGUCCAUUACUAGAACUGUCAGAUUUGAUUGAGAGAGUUAAGGUGUGGCUGUCUUCAAAACGUUUUUUUUCUUCUUCAAGGCUUUCCUCUGAACUAAAUGCUUAUUAUAAUAAAGCUUGACAUAUUUACAGUGAGAAGUAGCCUAGCUGAUCGAUUUUCAACAAUAAUGGCGCAUUUGAAAAAGGAAGCAUUCGAUUAUACGACCAACAGUGCCACCUCGACAAGGAUAAUGUGCAUUAUUCUAAACAUUACCGAUGGAGUCUAUUCUGCUAUUAUUUGGAUGAUUGUAACAAGUAUUUAAUAAUCGUGUAGGUUAAUUCGCUGUAUAAUGUUUUGAAAUGGACGAAGCAACUUUACAGUCGUAUCGCAUUCUACAUAUGAAAGGCUAAUCAACGGACCUGUGGGGGAGUAGGCCUAGUUGGUGAUUAUAGAGCUAUUCUCGCACGAUAAUCGAUUAAAAAAUAUAUAUUUUGAUUUUUUUUCCCUUUAUGAUCAAUGGCGAUACUUAUAACUAGUCUACUGCCAUUUUGAGUCCCACCGAGGAAAUAAGUUAAUCUUACCUACAGAAACAAGUAAGUGCGUCAAUAUUAAUUUAAACACGUUUAAAUGUCUUUAUGAGUGUGGAAUAACCUUAACUGAAUAUAAUAAAGUAAUCUAGAUAGGUUGCAAUUAAGAGACAAAAUAGAGCGUCAAAUGAACCUGGAUGAUUGUAUGCCUACUGAGAAUAUUGCCUUAACUGUUACAAAUGAAGCAAAUUGAAUGUUACAAAUUAUGUAAUCAAAUAGUUGACUUGCAGUUCCAUUUGGACUAUAUGUUGUCCGCUGGUCUGUAGGCGGUGCAAUAAUUACCAUAAUACUUAAUUCAAUACAGCAGUGAAUUGAAUAUUAGAUUUAUGAGUUAUUUCAAAGGCCAUCUCAUAUAGGCUAAACGUUAAAUGGAUUGGAUUAUGGACACUUCUAUUGCGUGCAUUCGUGCCCUAUAUAGUCUACGGGCGUGCCCAUCAAUUAGCCUACUUGUGAAGAAGAAUGGGGCCAAAGGGGCCAGAAUAAGAUUCGGUCAUAUUUUUCAAAAAUUAAAAAAUAUGUAAAAUAUCAAGAUCAUUCCUGUACUGUAAAAACGUGUUAAAAUACCUAUUCAUAGAUCUGAUGUUACUCUUCUUAACUUUUAGCAUUUAGUAGUAGGGUAGACUAAAUACAUAAUGAAUUUAACCUUACUCAUAUCUUUUCAUUAUUUAGUUACAGUAACUCACUGUAAUUUGCUUUAAUUUGAUUUAAAGGAGAGAAUUGCAGAGCGAAUUCCUCAAGGCCCCACCCUUUACAGCAAAACAUGGAUGUGGAUCACAAUUUCCCCCAGAAGUUUCUUGUUUCCCUUUUUCCUCUCUCUAACCUUACGUUGCCAAGUGUGUAACCAUAGGCCCUGCUUUAAGUGGAGAGAACCUGUAACCUUCCAUAUAAACUGGCUGGCAACCCCCUAAAGAUCAAGCCGCAGGAUCUUCAUUCAAACUCCAAUGAGUCUCCCUUCCUUUGAUCAAGAUUCCACCUCUGCCCACCCUGAUGGACAAAAAUGAAGAAGAUGUAGCCUUGUGUGUGUGUGUGUGUGUGUGUGUGUGUGUGUGUGUGUGUGUGUGUGUGUGUGUGUGUGUGUGUGUGUGUUUUUUUUUAUAUGUGUAUGUUUUUGUACAUGCUGCGUGGGUGCUCACUGGCUGACCCACAGCAGUUCUUCACUGGCAAGCUUUAUGUCCUUAUGUACCAACUAAAGCUGCCAGCUGAAGAACUGUUGUGGUUGGCUCUUUCCUGCAUCCCACACAGAAGACCAAGAGACGCCUUCGAGAAGUGUGUGUGUGUGUCCAGAUGCCAUGCAUCGGAUCAGUGAAUUCUCCUUCCAGAUGUUCCAUUUUGCAGCCAAUGGUAGCAGUGUACAGUAUGUUUAGAGGUAAAUACAGCACAUGUGAAGAUUAGGCUACACAGAAUAGCUAGCUAUCCAAGACAUCUGAUAUGAUGCAAUAGGUCUCAGUUAAAAACACAUGAACCCACUGCACUCAAAUGUAAUGUUUUCAUUAAGUCUUCUGCUCAUGUUACAGAGCUAAUGAAGGCUCUAAGUAUGAAAAAUGCUUACAAACUAUGAAAUAUGUUUAAGUAUGAAGUUUGCUUACUAAAUAUCAAGUAUGGUCCCAAAGUAUGAAGUACGCUUACUUGAAGUAUACUUACUGAUGACAGAUUUUACUAUAUGUGUGCUGUAUUUUUCUCUAUUUACACUAUAUUUUAUUUAGUUUUAUGUAUGUAUACUCAACAGAGUUUUAUGUAUGCUUUCAUGUACAAUGUGAGCUCUUUUAAACCAUACUAUCAGCAUCAACUGCCCCCACAAAUGGCUGCUUUAUUCUACUCAGGCAUUAACAAAGACGACUGCACAUUGAUGCUACUGUACAUGCUGAGUCAGCCAACAUUCCACACCCCAGCCAGGACCCGCCUGCUGCCCAAAUAUGGAUUGAAGCUGCAUGGUGGGGCAUCAUGGGUGCUUCAUUGUAUAUCAGAACAAAACAUCUCUAGAAUAAUUUCUUAUGCUACUCAAAAACAACAAAAAGUAGAAGGAUAGGAAGGUAGAUGGACUGGCUACUCAAAACCUACAAGUAUGUAAAGCAUAGGAUGAUUUAAUGAUACAGUAUGAUAGAUUGGGGAAAGGAUAGGAGGAUAGAUGGAGGGACGAUUAGGAGGAUAGAUGGAGGGACGAUUAGGAGGAUAGAUGGAGGGAAUGUUAGGAGGAUAGAUGGAGGGAAUGUUAGGAGGAUAGAUGGAGGGAAUGUUAGGAGGAUAGAUGGAGGGAAUGUUAGGAGGAUAGAUGGAGGGAAUGUUAGGAGGAUAGAUGGAGGGAAUGUUAGGAGGAUAGAUGGAGGGAAUGUUAGGAGGAUAGAUGGAGGGAAUGUUAGGAGGAUAGAUGGAGGGAAUGUUAGGAGGAUAGAUGGAGGGAAUGUUAGGAGGAUAGAUGGAGGGACGAUUAGGAGGAUAGAUGGAGGGAAUGUUAGGAGGAUAGAUGGAGGGAAUGUUAGGAGGAUAGAUGGAGGGAAUGUUAGGAGGAUAGAUGGAGGGACGAUUAGGAGGAUAGAUGGAGGGAAUGUUAGGAGGAUAGAUGGAGGGAAUGUUAGGAGGAUAGAUGGAGGGAAUGUUAGGAGGAUAGAUGGAGGGAAUGUUAGGAGGAUAGAUGGAGGGAAUGUUAGGAGGAUAGAUGGAGGGAAUGUUAGGAGGAUAGAUGGAGGGAAUGUUAGGAGGGAAUGUUAGGAGGAUAGAUGGAGGGACGAUUAGGAGGAUAGAUGGAGGGAAUGUUAGGAGGAUAGAUGGAGGGAAUGUUAGGAGGAUAGAUGGAGGGAAUGUUAGGAGGAUAGAUGGAGGGAAUGUUAGGAGGAUAGAUGGAGGGAAUGUUAGGAGGAUAGAUGGAGGGAAUGUUAGGAGGAUAGAUGGAGGGAAUGUUAGGAGGAUAGAUGGAGGGAAUGUUAGGAGGAUAGAUGGAGGGAAUGUUAGGAGGAUAGAUGGAGGGAAUGUUAGGAGGAUAGAUGGAGGGAAUGUUAGGAGGAUAGAUGGAGGGAAUGUUAGGAGGAUAGAUGGAGGGAAUGUUAGGAGGAUAGAUGGAGGGAAUGUUAGGAGGAUAGAUGGAGGGACGAUUAGGAGGAUAGAUGGAGGGAAUGUUAGGAGGAUAGAUGGAGGGAAUGUUAGGAGGAUAGAUGGAGGGAAUGUUAGGAGGAUAGAUGGAGGGAAUGUUAGGAGGAUAGAUGGAGGGAAUGUUAGGAGGAUAGAUGGAGGGAAUGUUAGGAGGAUAGAUGGAGGGAAUGUUAGGAGGAUAGAUGGAGGGAAUGUUAGGAGGAUAGAUGGAGGGAAUGUUAGGAGGAUAGAUGGAGGGAAUGUUAGGAGGAUAGAUGGAGGGAAUGUUAGGAGGAUAGAUGGAGGGAAUGUUAGGAGGAUAGAUGGAGGGAAUGUUAGGAGGAUAGAUGGAGGGAAUGUUAGGAGGAUAGAUGGAGGGAAUGUUAGGAGGAUAGAUGGAGGGAAUGUUAGGAGGAUAGAUGGAUGGAUGAAAGGGAAAGAAGGAGGGAGGGAGAACAAGGCAAGGACAUACGACAAACAGCUGGACAAAACCAGCCUCCUGACAUGCUGGUAAAGGCAAUUUGUGGCAUUGUUCUAGACUUAGCUGUACUGUUUGUCUCAAACCAUGACUGCUCAGGCCCUCUCCAUUCCCUUUCUCUCUCCCUCUCUGUUCUCUUUCUCUCUCUACUCAUUUUCUAUGUGUGUGUCUCUCUCUAACUCUUUCUAUUUGACUCAUUCUCUCUCUUUCUCCCUCUCUCUGUCACACACCCCCACAUGCGCGCACACACACAGCAUACCAUACAUCUGACUUCAAGGGUGGUGUUGGCGUCGGCAAGAACAGGAUAUGAGAGCGUGUCCCUCUAAAAACCUUCCCCUCCAGAUGAGAACAAAGGUAGAGAAUGUUCCAGAUUCCCUGGCCGCUGCAGUCUAGGAACAUGUGGAGUCAAGAGUUGGCCAACGAGCAGUCCUUAUCUUUUCCCCCUUCUUUCCAUGCAUUUUCUCUCUGUUGUCUAGCUUGUCCAUCUCUGUUUUUGGCCUCUUGGUAAGCUAGCUUUUUGUUUCAUACUAUUAUCUCUUUGUUAGUGCAUCUGCUUCAAUCUCCUUAUCUUGUUGUCUUGUCACUCUUCUCAUUAUUUCUCCCCUCUUCUGUCUAGCAUCCCUCUUAAAACACACAAAGACACAAACAUAGAGGUAAAUAGAGAUAAAUACACACACACAAACACACAGAGACAGAGAGCCAUACACACACACACAUCCCUCAGACAGGAUUAUCCCACUCUCACAAGUUGAUCCUCUCCGGUAAGCACUGCCAGUCCCCUGUGAGCAUGUAACAGAAGCACUGCAGUCAGGGCAAGGCUGUGACCUAGAGAGUAGUGUGUUUGUGUGUGUGCGUCUCUGUUUGUGUAUUCCUCUGUGUGUUUGUAUAUGUGUCUCCCGCUGUGUGUUUGUGUGUGUGUGUGUCUCCCGCUGUGUUUGUGUGUGUCAGAUCACAGGCCAAGGUCUCCUACCUGAUCCACUCUGAGGGAAUCGGCUUGCGAGUACAUUAAGAGAUUGCGGUGGGGCGCCGAGCUGAGGCUCACUGGCUCGACUUAAAGACAUACACACAUAAUCCUGGCUGCUCUGCUCCACCUAACAAGGAUACACGUGGCAGGUGUGUCUUUCAGGGACUGUGUGUGUGUGUCGUCUCUGAACUUUACCCUACCUAUGCCCUCUCAGGCGUGCCCCUGUCUUUGGGCACCCUUACCCGCCCUAAUGUCACUUCAUCUGCCAACUGGAUAAAGAUAGAGAGGGGUGCACAGAGACGACAGAGAGAGGGGUGCACAGAGACGAGAGAGAGAGAGAGGGGUGCACAGCGACGAGAGAGAGAGAGAGGGGUGCACAGCGAUGAGAGAGAGAGAGAGGGGGUGCACAGCGACGAGAGAGAGAGAGAGAGGGGUGCAUAGAGACGAGAGAGAGAGAGAGAGAGAGGGGUGCACAGAGACAAGAGAGAGAGAGGGGUGCAUAGAGACGAGAGAGAGAGAGAGAGGGGUGCACAGAGACGAGAGAGAGAGAGGGGUGCACAGAGACGAGAGAGAGAGGGGGGUGCACAGAGACGAGAGAAAGAGAGAGAGAGGGGUGCACAGAGACGAGAGAAAGAGAGAGAGAGGGGUGCACAGAGACGAGAGAGAGAGAGGGAGAGAGGUGCACAGAGACGAGAGAGAGAGAGGGGUGCACAGAGGUUAUCCCACACCAUAAUGCCAUCCUGCCCAGCCUGAUCACACAAAGCACAGUCAAAGCACACCAACACCUAACCAUGCACUUUAACUAUGGAGGCUUGAGAUCUGCAAGUGUAUGGUAUGUGUUUUGGUAUGCUAUAAAAUGCUAUGUAUAUUAAGGUAUGCUCCGUAAUUCCGCUGUAUGUUACGUGGACUGUGUUCAUUUUAAUGUGAUAAUAAAUUGAAUUGCACUGAGACAAAACA